AGCGCCAGCCACUCCUCGCAAGCGUCUUCUGUCUCACAUGCUUUUUAAUCUUUCUCCUCCAGUGCUUCCUAGAUCUAAGAUUCACUUUAGAGGCGCACACUGGCCGCGCGCACGCACACGCGCACACACACUCACUCUCUCACACACACACACCACUUGGCUACAUCGCUAAACAACAAACAGCAAACAACUCCCCCUCCGAUAACUCCUACCGCACUAACUCCCACCUUACUAACUCUCAUCCUGCUUUCUCCCUCCAGAUUGCGCCCAGGACCCCUAGACUCUCCACGGUGGCCCACCCUGUCUGCAGCGCACCGGGGGACUAUGCUCGGAGUUCAGCUGCCCACAUCUUGUACUAGAAAAAAAUGAAUAUUGACAACAAGGGCUCUGCAUCUGCACAAGAAAGAAAGUACCACUUAACAACAACAAAAUAUCCUGGCCCGGCGAUGGUGCAGUCGGCGGUGCUCGCUGCUCUAGGUUGUUAGCGGCAGAGUUCCGGACCUAGUAAUCCGCCAGCAGAGGAAGGGGGCCGCGGAAUUAAAACGAACAAAAGCUAGAGCGCCAUGCCAAACAUCCCCAACGCGACCCAGUUAGGCAGGAGCCAAGAGGAGUGGUGGGGAAAUAAACGAGAAGUAAGUUUAAAAUAAAAAGAUCUGAGGCUGUACCGU
rnacentral:lncRNA from 1 species